CUUGAAAACACCGGUUCUCGUUCGAUCACCGAAGUUAAGCAUCGUAGAGCCAGGUCAGGUCACUUAGAUGGGGGACCGCUUGGGAACACCUGGUACUGUAAG
rnacentral:rRNA from 1 species